UACGUAGGGGGCAAGCGUUAUCCGGAUUUACUGGGUGUAAAGGGAGCGUAGACGGCAGAGCAAGUCCGGGGUGUAAGCCCGGGGCCCAACCCCGGGACUGCUCUGGAAACUGUUAAGCUGGAGUGCGGGAGGGGCAGGCGGAAUUCCUGGUGUAGCGGUGAAAUGCGUAGAUAUCAGGAGGAACACCGGCGGCGAAGGCGGCCUGCUGGACCGUGACUGACGUUGAGGCUCGAAAGCGUGGGGAGCAAACAGG
rnacentral:rRNA from 1 species